rnacentral:rRNA from 1 species
AUUGAACGCUGGCGGCAUGCUUUACACAUGCAAGUCGAACGGUAACAGGCCUUCGGGUGCUGACGAGUGGCGCACGGGUGAGUAAUGCAUCGGAACGUGCCCAGAGGUGGGGGAUAACGCAGCGAAAGCUGUGCUAAUACCGCAUGCGAUCUGCGGAUGAAAGCGGGGGACCAGGCAGCAAUGUUUGGCCUCGCGCCUUUGGAGCGGCCGAUGUCAGAUUAGGUAGUUGGUGGGGUAAAGGCCUACCAAGCCGACGAUCUGUAGCUGGUCUGAGAGGACGACCAGCCACACUGGGACUGAGACACGGCCCAGACUCCUACGGGAGGCAGCAGUGGGGAAUUUUGGACAAUGGGCGCAAGCCUGAUCCAGCAAUGCCGCGUGCGGGAAGAAGGCCUUCGGGUUGUAAACUGCUUUUGUACGGAACGAAAAGGCUCUGGCUAAUACCUGGGGCUGAUGACGGUACCGUAAGAAUAAGCACCGGCUAACUACGUG